UUUAACAUUAAAAUCAUUGAAAUAUUUUAACACUUCGACUUCUUUGUCUUUUUCAAGAAAAGUUUCUAUUAAAAUUAUUAUUUCAAGUUGCAAAAUAAAUUUUUAAAAAUCAGGAAAUAUUAAUUUGUUUUUUAAACCAGAAAUAUUAAAAUAUACAAUUUUGUGACUUACAGAAAAAUGACAGACGGCAACACUUUCCUAACUCUGAUUAAAAUUACAAAUCAUACUACUGCUCCCAGCCUGAACGCCACUUUAGCUUGUUGUUGAUUUGACGUUUCGUUGGUUGUUGUUGAUUUGACGUCUUGGUCCAUUUCUCUGAUCAUGUUGAUAUUGUUUUCUGGUUCCAUCAAAAAACCUCAUGGCUUCCUCGCUGAAUUUGGAUUUAACAAAUGUUAGCUCUUCAUCUGAGCCGAUGAUCAAUCCUCGCGGAAAAUCAAAUGCAAAGUUGAAUUUUUCUACUUGUAAAUUUACCCCUUUAAUCAUAAUGUUCGUGUUUGGUGCAAGUGCAAGUAAUUCGGAUUUUAUUUGGUACAGUGAUUUCCUCUUUUCUCUCGUUAUUAUCGAUUGCUCUCUGUGGAUAACAAUACCAGUGUCUUUUAAUUUUCGCGAUGCUCCAAUUAAUUUGUUUACAGUGUCACCGGGUUGAAAGUUGAUCACCACGGUGCGUGGUAUUAUUAUUUCUAUGAUUAGUAAAGUCGUGUACAUUAUUUAUCGGAAGCACAGCAUUAUCUUGAAGUUGGAGAAGACCUGCACAAGUCUGUUUAGCAAAUUGGACUUUGUCGGUCUUCCCUUCUGCCGGAAAAUGAAUCACCACUGAAUUUUCUUUAUUUUUACGAGAAAUAGCCUCAAUUUGCCGCUCAAGUAACUGACAAUAAUUUUCCAUCGAUGUCACUUUGUUCAAAAGGUAGGAGUUGUGCGUUCGCAGUAACUGGAUUUCGGAAGAGACAGCUAAGACUUCUUGCUUAGUUGCAAUGUCCUUGAUUUUGUUUGUGAUGAUAUCGUCCAAAAGAACUUUUAAAUCAUCAAUUGACAUAUUACCAACAGCCAUUGUAUUUAUUGGAUUAAAUGCAAAUGUUUUUUUUUUGUUUGCUGAUCUUUGCUCGGGUGAAGUUGCAGAUAGUUUUCUUUUGGGUCUCAUAAAGCAGUGUUAAUCGAAACAAAGAAAUCGUGUGGUCUAAGCAAAGUUUGAGUUAUUUCUUUUUUUUAAACAAAAUCGAUUAUAAUAAGGGUGAAACACAAAUCUCAAUUAUAAAAGUGAUGUUUUCCCAUUAAAUUAAAUACUUUUUAAUUAAUUUGUUAACGAUUUAUUAAUUUAAAUUUAUUUAAAAAAAGGAACCCACAAUUAGCAAAAUCAUUAUUAACGGAGAGAGCUUACGAGUAAAGGUCAUAACUUUACAUUUUGAUAAAUUUAAAGACAUAUCAUUUAUAUUGCACCAAUUAAAAAGUUUAUUUAAGUAAUUGGAGAAAAUGUGCAUCUUCAUGGUUCUUGAUAGAAUGGAAUAAUUUUGUAUCAUCGGCAAACAUAAGAAUCUUUGAACGAGUUAUUACAUUACAAAAGUCGUUUAUAAAUAACACAAAUAAUGGAGGACCAAUGUGACUUCCUUGAGGGACACCAGAAUAGACAUUUAUAAUUUUAGACAUUUUAUUCUUAAGCAAUACAUAUUGAGUUCUUUCUGAAAGAUAGGAUUUCAGCCACACGAGGAACCAGUUGGGAAAGCCUAUACGGGCUAAUUUCUUCAAUAAUAUCAAAUGGUUAAUACGAUCAAACGCUUUGGAGAAAUCUUAGUAUAUAACAUCAGUUUCCGAGCAGAAAUACAUUAAGUUUGUGGUUGUAGAUUUUCCUUCUGUGAAGCCAUGCUGAUAAGGAAAAAUUAAUUGAUUCCAAUGACUUUUUAAGAGGUCACACAUGAUGUUUUCAAACUUUUUUGGGAUGCAAGACAGUUUAGCAAUACCUCUGUAAUUUUCAAUAUUUGAUUUAUUUCCUUUUUUGUGCAAGGUUAAAUAAAUGAAGAUUUCCACAUUUCCGGAAAAACUGAUUUUUUUUAUAGAUAAAUUAAAUGAAUAACACAAUGGGCGUACAAGAACAGACAUAAAUUUUUUCACUAUACAGGAAGGAAUUUCGUCAGGACUGUUGAGUUAUGUUUGUGAUGCGAUCCUGCAGCUGGAUUGCUAGAUGAUCACGCGAUAAGCACCCCCACCACGACAAGGUCAAUUCAUAGGGGGUGACAAAAUAUAUUAACAAAUACUUAAAAAUGUAUGAUAAGUGGCAUUUUGCUUAAUUUUAAAAAAGUGACAGAUCCGCAAAUUUUGUUUAUGUGGAUUGCAAAUGUAUGGAGCAAGUUCAUUCACGUGAUUCGUUCAAUGCCGCACAACAUAACCGAUAUUAUCGACAUGAGUAUGGAUUAAAUACUUUCAAUUUACAAAUUUUUUUGUCUUCUUUCAAAUUAAAUUGAUUUUUUUUUUUUUUUUAUUUGAUUCUGAGUUUUAUUAAUUUCGUCUUCACUUUCCAAGUAUUUUAUUAAAAGGUUUGUUUGUGUGCUCUAGAGCACUCUGGGUCGCUCCGAGUUAUUUCCUUUGUGUUCGUUGUUCGCUCUGAACGCACCCAUCGAAGGAGAAACGUUUGGUGAAAAGUGAUAAAAGUAAUUAGUAAUUUUGUGUAUUUUCGUAGGAAAUCAUCAUCGACAAACUAUACCAAGACUGGAAACUUUCGAACGUCUUACCCCCAAAACCAUUGACCUAUUAUAUAUGGACUAGCAGUCCAGGUUGACUCUCGUUUCCAUACAAAUUUUUUGAAAACGUGGUUCAAUGAUUACUAGCACCUGUGCUUUGUAUAUAAAAUCUAUAGUACUAUCAUGAAGUGAAAUUUUUUAGUUUGUUCGCUACCUGAGUGGUCGCGAGGGCGCUUAGAUAGAAUUUAAUAAUGAGAGUAAGGAGAUGAGAUAUACAUUUCUGUUUGAAAUUUGACAUAGUUUUUAGUUCGUUCGCUCGCUUACUUUUUUGGUGGCGCUGCUUUUUUUCAUGAUAGUACUAUAGAUUUUAUAUACAAAGCACCUGUGGAAGAAAAAGGUAAAUAGAAUUCAGUUAGCUUAGCGACAUCUUCCGUCAUAUCGAUUGAACUACCAUUUUUGUGCAUAGAAACUAUGGCCAUCUACAUUUUUUGGCUAUAAAAAUCAGUAACACCUGUCUUUUUUGAAGUCUACUUUUUGAAGUUUUGGAAGAAAAGAAUUCUUUCAGAAAAAAAAGUAUUUUAAACUGUUUGUGCGUAACAAAAUAUCGGGAUAAAAAAUUGAAUCGUGUUGGAAAAAGGAGGGCCAAAUGCCCCCGCCCGAACAGCCAAACUUAUCGCAUGUAUUCGACUUGGAUGGAUGGAAGUAAGGCCAAAUGGUCGAAAAAAUAUUCCACCAAAGCCAUUCACAAUAAGCAUCAAACGGAGAAAGAGAAUCCAGCCUUAAAGAUAUUUGGGCUUAGGCAGAGGGAUAUUACCGAGUUCGAAUUGGUGAGACACUUGGCAAUUAUUGGUAUGUCGUCAGUGGUUAUAAAUAUCUGCAUCAUUUUAGUUUCUUUAUUGCUUGAACUUUUUUUUCAUUUACAGAAUAAGGUAAACCAAAAAUAAAAUUCGAAAUCCCUUAUUCUGUUCGAACUUUCACAUAUUUGACUCCUCAGUAACACCGAGCCAUUAGAAGAAUUUAUGAUGACCUAUGACCGCCUCGUAACGAAUAUUUACAUUCCUCUCAUCAAUGGACGCAAUUAAAAGCCGCAGCUGUUCGUAUUUGAAGUCACAAAACCAUUGACCUAUUAUAUAAUAGGUCAAUGCACAAAACUAUAUGUCAAAUUACUAUUUCCCGCUGCCCUACCAAGGGGCGCCACCUGGCUUGAACCUGGUCCUGGCAGUCCAUAUAUUAUAGGUCAAUGCCCAAACCCAUCGACAAACUAUACCAAGACUGGAAAUUUUCGUUCGUCUUACCCCCCAAAACCCCUUUGUGUACAGUGUUAUCUGUGAAUAUAUGUGAAAGCCACCACGUUGGUAAAUGGCGUUAACACGUACACAUUUAUAGAUUCACGACAUUCACCACACAUCCAACACGUACACAACGAUAGAUUGACAACAUUCACCACACCUCGCAGUUUGUAGGCAAACGUCAUUAGACCGCUCAGUUUCCAGUCUUGGUAUUUUUUGUUUAUGCCCAAAACCCUUUUGUGUACAGUGUUGUUUGUGAAUAUAUGUGAAAGCCACCACGUUGGUAAAUGACGUUAACACGCACACAUUUAUAGAUUCACGACAUUCACCACACAUCCAACACGAACACAACGAUAGAUUGACGACAUUCACCACACCUUGCAGCUUGUAGGCAAACGUCAUUCGACCGCUCAGUUUCCAGUCUUGGUAUUUAUUGUUUAUGGAAAUCAUCGUCUCCUGCAGCCUGACGCCACCACCACCCCCAUGGUAUAAAAAGAGAAGGUAUGAUCAUUAGAAAAAACUCAGUAUCGAGAACUGUCAAAUGAAAGAAAAAAAGAUGGCUACUUAAGGUUUUGACAGCCCAGCCCAUUGAAAUUGUUGUUGUAAACAAAUUUGUCUUGGAAAUUGUUGUUGCUUUCGACUUUGCCAAAUGCCAAACGUCAAAACCUUACUACCCCAUUUUGUAAGAUGGCGGCUCUAAUGAUCAUACUGUCUUUUUAUACCAUGACCACCACCCACGAACAACAUUCCACAAAUAAAGUUAUUAAAAAAACAUGAUGGAUUUCAUUCAUGCUUCAAUAUUUACUAUAGAUAAGGAGCGUUCACGAUCUAUUGUAAAAAAAAUAAAAUUUUACAUUUUUACUAGGCCUGUUGCACCAGAUCGUGAAUACCCCUGAUAAUUUUUAAAAUCAACUCCUGCCGCUGGCUUGUAUACUGUAUCUCCAGAAAAUAAGUGUAAACAUUUUGUUUGUAAAAUAUAAAUAAAACAAAACUAUUUCAGUGAAA